UACGUAGGGCCCGAGCGUUAUCCGGUAUUAUUGGGCGUAAAGAGUACGUAGGCGGUUACGUAAGACAAUGGUUAAAUCUCCGAGCUUAACUCGGAAAUCGCCGUUGUGACUGCAUAACUAGUCGAUAGCAGGGGCAAGCGGGAAUUGUCGGUGUAGGAGUGAAAUCCGUUGAGAUCGACAAGAACACCAAUGGCGAAGGCAGCUUGCUAGGCUAUAUGAGACGCUGAGGUACGAAAGCGUGGGGAGCGAACGGG
rnacentral:rRNA from 1 species